rnacentral:rRNA from 1 species
AUUGAACGCUGGCGGCAGGCCUAACACAUGCAAGUCGAACGAGUGGCGGACGGGUGAGUAAUGUCUGGGAAACUGCCUGAUGGAGGGGGAUAACUACUGGAAACGGUCGCUAAUACCGCAUAACAUCAGAUGGUCCCAGAUGGGAGUAGCUAGUUGGUGGGGUAACGGCUCACCAAGGCGACGAGCCAUAGCUGGUCUGAGAGGAAGACCAGCCACACUGGAACUGAGACACGUUCCAGACUCCUACGGGAGGCAGCAUUGGGUAAUAUUGCACAAUGGGCGCAAGCCUGAUGCAGCCAUGCCGCGUGUAUGAAGAAGGCCUUCGGGUUGUAAAGUACUUUCAGCGGGGAGGCGUUACCCGCAGAAGAAGCACCGGCUAACUCCGUGCCAGCAGCCGCGGUAAUUC